GCGAAGCAGUUAAGAAGAUUCUUCGGAUGAUUCUUAACUGACUGAGCGGCGGACGGGUGAGUAACGCGUGGGUGACCUGCCCCAUACCGGGGGAUAACAGCUGGAAACGGCUGCUAAUACCGCAUAAGCGCACAGAGCUGCAUGGCUCGGUGUGAAAAACUCCGGUGGUAUGGGAUGGGCCCGCGUCUGAUUAGGCAGUUGGCGGGGUAACGGCCCACCAAACCGACGAUCAGUAGCCGGCCUGAGAGGGCGACCGGCCACAUUGGGACUGAGACACGGCCCAAACUCCUACGGGAGGCAGCAGUGGGGAAUAUUGCACAAUGGGGGAAACCCUGAUGCAGCGACGCCGCGUGAGUGAAGAAGUAUUUCGGUAUGUAAAGCUCUAUCAGCAGGGAAGAUAAUGACGGUACCUGACUAAGAAGCCCCGGCUAACUACGUGCCAGCAGCCGCGGUAAUACGUAGGGGGCAAGCGUUAUCCGGAUUUACUGGGUGUAAAGGGAGCGUAGACGGCAAGGCAAGUCUGAUGUGAAAACCCAGGGCUUAACCCUGGGACUGCAUUGGAAACUGUCUGGCUCGAGUGCCGGAGAGGUAAGCGGAAUUCCUAGUGUAGCGGUGAAAUGCGUAGAUAUUAGGAAGAACACCA
rnacentral:rRNA from 1 species